rnacentral:lncRNA from 1 species
CACCUGACCAAGACCUUUGCAGUAGUGUGGGAUGCUGUGUGGCAGGAAAUACUGUUGUGCUGAGGAAGAAAACAACUCCCUCUUCUUUUUUUUUUUUUCCUUUUUUUUUUCCCCCUCUUCCCUCCCCUCCUUUCUUCUUGCCUGA